rnacentral:hammerhead_ribozyme from 1 species
AUACUGCUGAAGAGUCCUGAACUAGGACGAAAUAGCUGUCCAGUAC